GCCCACGUAGCUCAGAUGGAGGAGAGCGCCGCCCUCCUAAGGCGGAUACCGGCGGUUCGAGUCCGCCCGUGGGCA
rnacentral:tRNA from 1 species